rnacentral:rRNA from 1 species
GGACGAACGCUGGCGGCGUGCUUAACACAUGCAAGUCGAACGAUGAAGCUGGAGCUUGCUCCGGCGGAUUAGUGGCGAACGGGUGAGUAACACGUGAGCAAUCUGCCCUUGACUCUGGGAUAACUGCGGGAAACUGUAGCUAAUACCGGAUACUUUCCUCGGUGGGCAUCCACUGGGGAAGAAAGAAUUUCGGUCAAGGAUGAGCUCGCGACCUAUCAGCUAGUUGGUGAGGUAAAGGCUCACCAAGG